rnacentral:rRNA from 1 species
UACGGGGGGGGCAAGCGUUGUUCGGAAUUACUGGGCGUAAAGGGCUCGUAGGCGGCCAACUAAGUCAGACGUGAAAUCCCUCGGCUUAACCGGGGAACUGCGUCUGAUACUGGAUGGCUUGAGUUUGGGAGAGGGACGCGGAAUUCCAGGUGUAGCGGUGAAAUGCGUAGAUAUCUGGAGGAACACCGGUGGCGAAGGCGGCAUCCUGGACCAAUUCUGACGCUGAUGAGCGAAAGCCAGGGGAGCAAACGGG